rnacentral:lncRNA from 1 species
GGUUGGAAAUGUUGUGACAUUACCAAGAAAGUUCAGUUAGCACUAGGACGCUUCUCAGACUCCUGUUUGCAAACCCAAGGAAAUAACUUUAGCAGGAAAGGCCAUGUACUGAUAUGCAAAGCUAUUAUGUAUGUCUUGUUAGGAAUUGAAGACCUAAAAGCUUACACCCCCUUCCAUCCUUUGUCAAAGGAACCAGUUCAAGGAAAUUUUUAGUGAGACUACCUACAGAUCAUUUAUGUUCAAGAAAGGACAAACAAGUUCUGGAAAAUCAAAAGCCAGGCAAUAUCAAGAAAUUGUUAAGCUAGCAGUUUCAAAAUUAUUCCCCACCUAAUUUUUGUUUUCGUUUUUCUCCUUGCUGUGGAGCAUCUUUUGCUGGAAGUAGAAGUAUGGCUUUAUAUAACUAGAAAUCAAGCAACAAAUGCCUACAGGGUCAACUAACCUGGGCCCAUAAGGGGCUC